AAUCGUUUAGCUAUAAGUUUAAGCAUUUGUUUUGAAAGCAUAUAAAAGGAUUCCUAACGAUUUU
rnacentral:tRNA from 1 species